ACUCCUACGGGAGGGCAGCAGUAGGGAAUCUUCCACAAUGGGCGCAAGCCUGAUGGAGCAACACCGCGUGAGUGAAGAAGGGUUUCGGCUCGUAAAGCUCUGUUGUUAAAGAAGAACACGUAUGAGAGUAACUGUUCAUACGUUGACGGUAUUUAACCAGAAAGUCACGGCUAACUACGUGCCAGCAGCCGCGGUAAUACGUAGGUGGCAAGCGUUAUCCGGAUUUAUUGGGCGUAAAGAGAGUGCAGGCGGUUUUCUAAGUCUGAUGUGAAAGCCUUCGGCUUAACCGGAGAAGUGCAUCGGAAACUGGAUAACUUGAGUGCAGAAGAGGGUAGUGGAACUCCAUGUGUAGCAGUGGAAUGCGUAGAUAUAUGGAAGAACACCAGUGGCGAAGGCGGCUACCUGGUCUGCAACUGACGCUGAGACUCGAAAGCAUGGGUAGCGAACAGGAUUAGAUACCCUGGUAGGAUAGCG
rnacentral:rRNA from 1 species